GGGCCUGUAGCUCAGUUGGUUAGAGCAGAGGACUCAUAAUCCUUUGGUCCCAAUUAGCAGUUCUGCAA
rnacentral:tRNA from 1 species